rnacentral:rRNA from 1 species
CCAAUAGCGUAUAUUAAAGUUGUUGCAGUUAAAAAGCUCGUAGUUGAAUUUCGGGAUCAGUACGCUGGUCGUGCCUUCGGUAUGUACUGGUGUUACUGGUUCCUACCUUCUGACGAACCGUCAUGUCAUUAAUUUGGUGUGGCGGGGAAUCAGGACUGUUACUUUGAAAAAAUUAGAGUGUUUAAAGCAGGCUCGCGCUUGAAUACAUUAGCAUGGAAUAAUGAAAUAGGACGUUCGAUCCUAUUUUGUUGGUUUCUAGGAUUGACGUAAUGAUUAAUAGGGAUAGUUGGGGGCAUUAGUAUUCAAUUGUCAGAGGUGAAAUUCUUGGAUUUAUUGAAGACUAACUACUGCGAAAGCAUUUGCCAAGGAUGUUUUCAUUAAUCAAGAACGAAAGUUAGGGGAUCGAAGACGAUCAGACACCGUCGUAGUCUUAACCAUAAACUAUGCCGACUAGGGAUCGGAUGAUGUUAAUUUUUUAAUGACUCAUUCGGCGCCUUAC